AAAAAGGGCUUCUGCUGUGAGUGGCACAUAGAAGGGCGGCUGCGGCUUUGUCUCUUUCUGUGCGGAAUCGCUAUCAAGAGAUUUCGGAAGCAUAAUUUUUGCGCUUGGGGCAGCUGGUAAUCGCUUGUUCUGGCUCCCCG